GGAAUUAUUUUUUUUCAAAUGUGUCCAUUGUCAGAUGUUGAGGAGCAUUAUGGAGGCUCAGGACCAACUGGAGAGAAAAUACAUCAGUAAGAAGGAGGAGCACAGAGCUCUGGAGAUGCAAAACUACAUGGGCCUGUGCAGGAACACUGGCACCUUUGACCCAAACAGGUAAAAGACACGUUAUCACACCCGUGUGAAUGUGUCAGCAUCAUGUUAAUGCAUCCAUUCACGUGUACGUUUGUGCAGGCUAGUGGAGGGAGACAUAUUCAGGAUAGGGAUGCACCUUGAGGACAUAAAGGAGAUGAUAGACAAAAACGUGUGUGAGCAGAUUUCUCCACCCCACUCAUCCUCCACUCCCACGCACAUGAAAGAGAUGCUGCAUGUGAAGCCCAGUCCUCUCUGCAUGCCCACACCCUCACCUCCACCAUCCCUGCAUGAGAGGCCAAGUGCAGAUUUUUCCACUUUGGCUUACAAGAUGGAGGCACAGAAAGAGGAAGAAGAAGAGGAGGAAGUGGAGGAGGCCAGUGAUGUCCAUGAAGAUGAAGCAUUACAGCAAAGCAGUGAACUCAUAACAACUCACUCUUUACUGAAAAAUACUGAACACAGCUCCUGCCAUAAAAGGUGCUUAUAUAAUACAUCACUGCUGUGCAUGUUUCUCUGUCACUAUUGUGUCUUGUUAGUGAUGUAUUGAGCGGUGCUUGCAUCUGUGUUUGUGCUCAAAUAAUAGGCACGUUCUCAGCCUUCCCUGGGCAGAUAGAGUUUCAGGUGCAGUGUUGGUGUUGGGUUCCACCGAGUGUUUGAGUCUCUGUGCACAAGUUUACUUCUCUGUCCUGUAUCAGGAGCUCACUGGGCUCUCUGGAGGGACUGGAAAUCCAGACAGCUGAAGCUGAAGAAGAGAGGAGCUGUGUCUCCUCAGAGGCGAGAGAUCACAGUAACAUCUUAGCACACCUGAGUGGAAGCAUCUCGUCCUCAAGACUGAAGCAGUGGACACCCGACAGGUUAGUGAUGUGAUAUUAAAGUCUACCUGACCGAACGAGAGAGCUAACUGUGACCCUCUGCAAGUAAUCCAUCUUGUAAUCCU
rnacentral:lncRNA from 1 species